GUACUAAGGCAGAAAACAUAUUUCAAUCAUCUUUGUUGGUGCAUAUUUGUAAUGGAUAAUGAAAAAUUGGGAAUAAAUAGUUUAAAAUACAGUUUUUUAUAGCUUGGCAAAAAAGUGAAAUGGAACUAAUCCUUUAUUUUAUGGCUGGCCACAUUAUCACAUUUUUGACGUUUGUGAAGUUUAAUAAAUUGUGUCGGUAUUUUCGUUUUUAUUAAAAUUUAAUACUAAAUACUAAUACUUUUCGCGAUAGAAAAUGAAUAAGCCGCGAAUAAUAAGUUCCAUGAGAAAAAAUAUUUAUAAAACUUUUACCGACGAUGUCGACAAUUUUUACCAAAGAACCGCUGAUAUGACUGGAAGCAUAUGUGAGUGCAUUUCAAGACAUAACCGAAGAUGAUUGGAAAAACUCAUGUCAAUAUGUAAGAAAAAUUUAAAUUGAGUAUUACAAGAGAGAGCAUACCCUGUAAGAGGAUAUUGAAAGAAUUGUAAUAAAUCCUAAAGAUGACAGUAGUAGUUCUUCAGAAUCACAGGAUGACUGUCCAGCCAGCUCCAGUCAUGAAAAUAUGGACAUUGAUUUUACUGAAAUACAAUAUUUGGAAGAAA